AAAAUUCCUUGUCGUUUAAGUAACGACCUGCAUGAAGGAUUUAACAAUUAGGUAACUUUAUGAGUCCAACAGUCGUUUAGUUAGUAGUCUGAGCGAAGAUACUCUGAUUUUGUUGUUUGGGGACAAAAAGACCCUUUGAAUCUUCAUAGGGCUUGUUUAGUGGUUUUCUUUAGGCGUGGUUGAG
rnacentral:rRNA from 12 species